GGUUAAGCGACUAAGCGUACACGGUGGAUGCCCUGGCAGUCAGAGGCGAUGAAGGACGUGCUAAUCUGCGAUAAGCGUCGGUAAGGUGAUAUGAACCGUUAUAACCGGCGAUUUCCGAAUGGGGAAACCCAGUGUGUUUCGACACACUAUCAUUAACUGAAUCCAUAGGUUAAUGAGGCGAACCGGGGGAACUGAAACAUCUAAGUACCCCGAGGAAAAGAAAUCAACCGAGAUUCCCCCAGUAGCGGCGAGCGAACGGGGAGCAGCCCAGAGCCUGAAUCAGUGUGUGUGUUAGUGGAAGCGUCUGGAAAGGCGCGCGAUACAGGGUGACAGCCCCGUACACAAAAAUGCACAUGCUGUGAGCUCGAUGAGUAGGGCGGGACACGUGGUAUCCUGUCUGAAUAUGGGGGGACCAUCCUCCAAGGCUAAAUACUCCUGACUGACCGAUAGUGAACCAGUACCGUGAGGGAAAGGCGAAAAGAACCCCGGCGAGGGGAGUGAAAAAGAACCUGAAACCGUGUACGUACAAGCAGUGGGAGCCUCUUUUAUGGGGUGACUGCGUACCUUUUGUAUAAUGGGUCAGCGACUUAUAUUCUGUAGCAAGGUUAACCGAAUAGGGGAGCCGAAGGGAAACCGAGUCUUAACUGGGCGUUAAGUUGCAGGGUAUAGACCCGAAACCCGGUGAUCUAGCCAUGGGCAGGUUGAAGGUUGGGUAACACUAACUGGAGGACCGAACCGACUAAUGUUGAAAAAUUAGCGGAUGACUUGUGGCUGGGGGUGAAAGGCCAAUCAAACCGGGAGAUAGCUGGUUCUCCCCGAAAGCUAUUUAGGUAGCGCCUCGUGAAUUCAUCUCCGGGGGUAGAGCACUGUUUCGGCAAGGGGGUCAUCCCGACUUACCAACCCGAUGCAAACUGCGAAUACCGGAGAAUGUUAUCACGGGAGACACACGGCGGGUGCUAACGUCCGUCGUGAAGAGGGAAACAACCCAGACCGCCAGCUAAGGUCCCAAAGUCAUGGUUAAGUGGGAAACGAUGUGGGAAGGCCCAGACAGCCAGGAUGUUGGCUUAGAAGCAGCCAUCAUUUAAAGAAAGCGUAAUAGCUCACUGGUCGAGUCGGCCUGCGCGGAAGAUGUAACGGGGCUAAACCAUGCACCGAAGCUGCGGCAGCGACGCUUAUGCGUUGUUGGGUAGGGGAGCGUUCUGUAAGCCUGUGAAGGUGUGCUGUGAGGCAUGCUGGAGGUAUCAGAAGUGCGAAUGCUGACAUAAGUAACGAUAAAGCGGGUGAAAAGCCCGCUCGCCGGAAGACCAAGGGUUCCUGUCCAACGUUAAUCGGGGCAGGGUGAGUCGACCCCUAAGGCGAGGCCGAAAGGCGUAGUCGAUGGGAAACAGGUUAAUAUUCCUGUACUUGGUGUUACUGCGAAGGGGGGACGGAGAAGGCUAUGUUGGCCGGGCGACGGUUGUCCCGGUUUAAGCGUGUAGGCUGGUUUUCCAGGCAAAUCCGGAAAAUCAAGGCUGAGGCGUGAUGACGAGGCACUACGGUGCUGAAGCAACAAAUGCCCUGCUUCCAGGAAAAGCCUCUAAGCAUCAGGUAACAUCAAAUCGUACCCCAAACCGACACAGGUGGUCAGGUAGAGAAUACCAAGGCGCUUGAGAGAACUCGGGUGAAGGAACUAGGCAAAAUGGUGCCGUAACUUCGGGAGAAGGCACGCUGAUAUGUAGGUGAAGCGACUUGCUCGUGGAGCUGAAAUCAGUCGAAGAUACCAGCUGGCUGCAACUGUUUAUUAAAAACACAGCACUGUGCAAACACGAAAGUGGACGUAUACGGUGUGACGCCUGCCCGGUGCCGGAAGGUUAAUUGAUGGGGUCAGCGCAAGCGAAGCUCUUGAUCGAAGCCCCGGUAAACGGCGGCCGUAACUAUAACGGUCCUAAGGUAGCGAAAUUCCUUGUCGGGUAAGUUCCGACCUGCACGAAUGGCGUAAUGAUGGCCAGGCUGUCUCCACCCGAGACUCAGUGAAAUUGAACUCGCUGUGAAGAUGCAGUGUACCCGCGGCAAGACGGAAAGACCCCGUGAACCUUUACUAUAGCUUGACACUGAACAUUGAGCCUUGAUGUGUAGGAUAGGUGGGAGGCUUUGAAGUGUGGACGCCAGUCUGCAUGGAGCCGACCUUGAAAUACCACCCUUUAAUGUUUGAUGUUCUAACGUUGACCCGUAAUCCGGGUUGCGGACAGUGUCUGGUGGGUAGUUUGACUGGGGCGGUCUCCUCCUAAAGAGUAACGGAGGAGCACGAAGGUUGGCUAAUCUUGGUCGGACAUCAGGAGGUUAGUGCAAUGGCAUAAGCCAGCUUGACUGCGAGCGUGACGGCGCGAGCAGGUGCGAAAGCAGGUCAUAGUGAUCCGGUGGUUCUGAAUGGAAGGGCCAUCGCUCAACGGAUAAAAGGUACUCCGGGGAUAACAGGCUGAUACCGCCCAAGAGUUCAUAUCGACGGCGGUGUUUGGCACCUCGAUGUCGGCUCAUCACAUCCUGGGGCUGAAGUAGGUCCCAAGGGUAUGGCUGUUCGCCAUUUAAAGUGGUACGCGAGCUGGGUUUAGAACGUCGUGAGACAGUUCGGUCCCUAUCUGCCGUGGGCGCUGGAGAACUGAGGGGGGCUGCUCCUAGUACGAGAGGACCGGAGUGGACGCAUCACUGGUGUUCGGGUUGUCAUGCCAAUGGCACUGCCCGGUAGCUAAAUGCGGAAGAGAUAAGUGCUGAAAGCAUCUAAGCACGAAACUUGCCCCGAGAUGAGUUCUCCCUGACCCUUUAAGGGUCCUGAAGGAACGUUGAAGACGACGACGUUGAUAGGCCGGGUGUGUAAGCGCAGCGAUGCGUUGAGCUAACCGGUACUAAUGAACCGUGAGGCUUAACCUU
rnacentral:rRNA from 1 species